GAAACUCGAGGUUAGACAAAGGGAAGAAUAAAGUUGAAGACUAAGUUGGUGAAUUUGGCUAUAAUUGGUACCGAGUAUUGCAAAGCUACUUCAAGGAUCCUAAAGAAGUCGGAGAUCGUCCACACUAUCAACUACAACUGCUCGAUCGAGAAACGAAGAAAACGGAAUUGGAUCGGGGGAAGUCAAAAGUAGUCAAGUAGUCGAGUAGUCGACUGUGUCCGUCGAUAUCCGAGAUUUUGGAAGUUGGUUACGAGCUCGGGGACCGUCAGCAAAGUCUAUCACACUAUCGACAUCUUUUGGGUACUUUGAUAAAUUUUUGAACUCGAUAUUAUGGCAUGUAUAGGCUUGUUUAUGUUUUUGGUUAGUUUUGGAACAUGUAUAUAAAUGGCCAUGUGAAAAUGGCUCAUCUUAUUUUGAUCGAGUUUGGCGUUUAUGCAUAUGGUUUUAAUGGUCAUGGAAAUGAGGUUUAUAAUUUUACAUAUUGAAUUAUGGUAUAAGUUUGUGAUAUGAUAAUAAAUGUGAUAUAUAUAUAUAUAUAUAUAUAUAGUUUGGACAUGUUAAAUUUGAUUAAGUGAUUAGUAUAUGUACAAUAGUUAUGCAUUGGAUGAUGGAUUGAUUUGAUGCAUAAAUGCUGCCCAAUUUGUUGCAUAAUGCUGUCCAAUUUUGAUGCUUAAAUGCUGCCCAAUUUGUUACAUAAUGCUGUCCAAUUUUGAUGCCUAAAUGCUGCCCAAUUUGUUACAUAAUGCUGUCCAAUUUUGAUGCUUAAAUGCUGCCCAAUUUGUUACAUAAUGCUGUCCAAUUUUGAUGUCUAAAUGCUGCCCAAUUUGUUACAUAAUGCUGUCCAAUUUUGAUGCUUAAAUGCUGCCCAAUUUGUUACAUAUAUGCUGUUCAAUUUUGAUGCCUAAAUGCUGCCCAAUUUGUUACAUAUAUGCUGUCCAAUUUUGAUGCUUAAAUGCUACCCAAAUUGUUGUAUAUAUAUGCUGCCCAAAUUGAUGAAUAAAAGUUGUUCAAAUAGGGUAGAUUACCUAUGUUGUAAUAUGUAGUUUAGUUAGUAAAUUGAAAUGAAAUAAAUGUUUGGAUAUAUGCUUGAGUUAUGAUAUUAAGAUUUGAUUAGGUAAAUGAUAAAGAUAUAGUUGGAUUUUGAAAUAUAGUUAGUAUAUGAAAUUUGAUUAAUGCAUGUUUGAUUUUAAAUUGGUAUUGUAGGCCAUGUGUAUUCGGAUAUAGUAGAAAUUGGUGAUAGAUAAUACAAUGUGAUACAAAUGGAUUUGGUUUAAUGUCAAGGCUAUGAAAAGAAAAUGUUAUAUUUAUAUUCGAAUGUGUAUGGUACAUGGAUUUAAUGUUUUUAAAUUAAAUGUGUUUUAGGUUGCUUGUAAUUUUGAUUAGUUUAAAAGUUAUGAACCUAAGUAACCAUACGAAAAUAAUCCAUUUUCAUGAUUUUGUUCUAGUUAUUAAUAAUGGCACAUCUAUACUAGUUAUACAUAAUCUUUAUGCUUUUGUUAACAAUUUGAAUAAUAUGAUGUUUGUAAUUAUACUUAUACGGCUUUGUACUUGAUUCAUUCUGAUUGGUAUGAUAUAUGAUUUUAGAUGUAAUAAAAUUUAUGAAGUUUGUACAUAUGAGGCUGUAAUUUAUAUGCUAAGUGGUGCUUUGUUUAUGUAUAAAAUAUGUAUAAGUAUUUUAUAUAUGCUGUCUAACUUGAGUUGAUUAGGUAAAAAAAAAAUUUGAGUUGGGUUUUGAUCGGUAAUGCCUCGUAACUCUAAUCUAGAGACGGAUUCGGGUUAUGGGGUGUUACACUCCACCUCCGCUCUAACGGUGCUUCUAGCCUUGUAUGUCUUCUACUUUGAAUUUCAAAGGUGAGUUUGCUGUUAACCCUAUUUCCUGUUAACCCAAUUCGAAUUAGUUUUUUGCUUUUUGAUUUUGAUUGUGAUUUUGAUUUUUGCUGUUAUCGGUUUUUUUAUUUUGAUUUUGAGACACUGAAUCUUCGGGGGGGAUUUAAUUUCUGCUAUUUGACUACUACCUUGGUAGUCACAGCAAUGGUUGAAAGAUGAACUUCUUAGGCAAUUAGUCACUCGCUUCUUUAAGCCAUGCCCUUAGCACCAAGACUACUGGCCCUUCCUGCAAGAGCAGAAAGAUCCAUUCUUUGCCCCUCCUUCAAGGACAAGAGAUGGGGAUGAACGCUCGCUUAUUCGAUUCGUCCUCUAUCUAAGUUCAUUUGUGAUGAAAUCUUUUCCUACCCUGAGGUCAGGCUUAAGCUUAUUCCCGUCAGUUCCCUCACUCUCUUUCAAUGGCAUCUGCUUUCAAUUCAUUAAGAAAGAGAUUGCCCGUUGGAUCAGAAAAAAGAAAAAGAAAACUAGUUUUAGCAUAUAGGAAAUCACUCAGAAAAGAGGAAAAAAUACUUUGCCUCUUUAGCUCUAUGUUCUUGGCUGCACUAUAGAUGGACAUCUUCAGUAAAAUAUUUUAACCUUCUUUGCUGCAUAUUUAUUCUGUUUAUGAAUCACAAAUUAUAUUUUACAACCGUCAUAUUCUUUAAAUAUUAUUUUUGCAUAAUGGAAGAGUUAUAUGCUCAUAUCAUACUAGUGUCAAAAGUUUGAUACAUUUCUACAAACUAUACUUCAACACAUUCGGAAUGGUGUAUACAUAUUAUUCUUUGCAACAAAAAGAGUGAUUGAGUCCAACUAAAGCGAGUGAGUGAAAGGCGUGGCAAGAGAGCGAGUUCGACUCGCGAAUGAUCAGCAAGUAAAGGACCAAUCCUUUAACGCCAGUACUGUUGCGAGACUGUUACUUGGUGGCUCACAAGCAACAUAUAGACUAAGGUUUCCCAUCACUCACUCGCUCUUUUUUGAAGGCUCUUUCUAUUCUCUUUCUAGUAUGGUUCCCCCAUAAGAACACUGAACGCCCAGUUUCGCAGAGCAGCUCCCUCCCCAGCCCACAGCAUAGUGUGGAAUCUGGAUCGUUUCAUCGAGCACCAUUCCUUUUAGAUAGAAAGGUGUUCUGACUCUAUUGGAUCAAGUCAUAACCUACGACUUCUACUAGUAUAGUAUUCUUUGCAACAUUUUUAUUUACUUAAAAAAAACUAUACCAUUAAGGUUCAAUCAAGCUAAAAAAUAUUGUUCUGUAUCUUGAUAGAAUAAUGUAUGAGCAAUUAGGUUGGAAAUCCUCAUGUUGCUUUUAACCUUUGCAGCUCAUCAGAUGGUAAUGUUUAGUGCUACAUGGCCUGCAGUAGUUCAUCGGUUAGCUCAGGAGUACAUGGACCCUAAUCCUGUUAAGGUUGUGAUUGGCUCAGAAGAUUUAGCUGCCAACCAUGAUGUUAUGCAGAUAGUUGAGGUUUUAGAUGAUCGUGCACGUUAUGAGCAAUUGACUGCAUUUAAAAUUUCUCUUCAUUGGCUAAAUAGAAUGGGCAGCAUUUAAAAUUUGCACUCUGUAUGUGUGUGUUCUCUAACAUUUUAAUUGAGCUUCAUUUAAAUAAAUAAGUUUGCAAAUCCUUUCAUUCCUUAAAUUUAAAAUGGUUCUUGAAUUUUGAUGCU